UGAAAAAUCAGCGGAUGAGUUGUGGUUAGGGGUGAAAUGCCAAUCGAAUUCGGAGCUAGCUGGUUCUCCCCGAAAUGCGUUUAGGCGCAGCGGUAGAUGUUAUAGCUUAGGGGUAAAGCACUGUUACGUAUGCGGGCUGGUAAUUCGGUACCAAAUCGUUGCAAACUAAGAAUACUAGAUGAAUAGUUUACCAGUAAGACUGUGGGGGAUAAGCUCCAUUGUCAAGAGGGAAACAGCCCAGAGCACCAGUUAAGGCCCUUAAAUAUAUGCUAAGUGAUAAAGGUGGUGGGAUUGCAUAGACAAUCAGGAGGUUUGCUUAGAAGCAGCAAUCCUUUAAAGAGUGCGUAAUAGCUCACUGAUCGAGUAAACCUGCGCCGAAAAUGAACGGGACUAAGCAUUUUGCCGAAACUGUGCGAUAUAUAAAAGAUAUAUCGGUAGGGGAGCGUUCUGUUGUAGGUCGAAGUAUUAGCGUAAGCGGGUAUGGACGAAGCAGAAGUGAGAAUGUCGGCUUGAGUAACGAAAAUAUAGGUGAGAAUCCUAUACCCCGAAAACCCAAGGUUUCCUCCGGAAGGCUCGUCCGCGGAGGGUAAGUCAGGACCUAAGGCGAGGCUGACAAGCGUAGUCGAUGGACAACGGGUUAAUAUUCCCGUACCAUUUUUCACUGAUAUCGAGGGACGGAGAAGGCUAAGCUAGCCGGAUAUUGGUUUACCGGUUUAAGCGUUCGAGAUGUUGAGAAGUGGCGAAAACACUUUGAGUUGAGACGUGAAUACGAGACGCUAAGGCGUUGAAGUAGUGUAUGUCAUACUUCCAAGAAAAGCUUGCACUGUCAUAAGUGAAAAAUGCCUGUACCAUAACCGACACAGGUGGGUAGGUAGAGUAUACUAAGGGGCGCGAGAUAACUCUCUCUAAGGAACUCGGCAAAAUAACUCCGUAACUUCGGGAGAAGGAGUGCCUUAUUUAUAAGGUUGCAAUAACAAGAUCCAAGCAACUGUUUAUCAAAAACACAGGUCUCCGCUAAGUCGCAAGACGAUGUAUGGGGGCUGACGCCUGCCCAGUGCCAGAAGGUUAAAGAAGUCGGUUAGCAUUAGCGAAGCUGGUGACUGAAGCCCUGGUGAACGGCGGCCGUAACUAUAACGGUCCUAAGGUAGCGAAAUUCCUUGUCGGGUAAGUUCCGACCCGCACGAAAGGCGUAAUGAUUUGGAUACUGUCUCGGAGAGGGGCUCGGUGAAAUAGACUUGUCUGUGAAGAUGCGGACUACCUGCACCAGGACAGAAAGACCCUAUGAAGCUUUACUGUAACCUGAAAUUGAAAUUGGACUUUAUUCGCGCAGUAUAGGUGGGAAGCGUUGAAAAUAUUCUUGCGGGAAUAUUGGAGCUAUCAGUGAGAUACCACUCUUGUAAUGUUAGAUUUCUAACUUUGAACCAUUAUCUGGUCAGAGAACAGUUUCAGGCGGGCAGUUUGACUGGGGCGGUCGCCUCCCAAACGGUAACGGAGGCGUACAAAGGUUUCCUCUGAACGUGUAGAAAUCGUAUCUAGAGUGUAAAGGCAUAAGGAAGCUUGACUGUGAGACCUACAAGUCGAGCAGGGACGAAAGUCGGUCUUAGUGAUCUGACGGUACUGAGUGGAAAGGCCGUCACUCAACGGAUAAAAGUUACUCUAGGGAUAACAGGCUGAUCUCCCCCAAGAGUUCAUAUCGACGGGGAGGUUUGGCACCUCGAUGUCGGCUCAUCGCAUCCUGGGGCGGUAGUACGUCCCAAGGGUUGGGCUGUUCGCCCAUGAAAGCGGUACGCGAGCUGGGUUCAGAACGUCGUGAGACAGUUCGGUCCAUAUCCGGUGUAGGCGUUAGAAUAUUGAGAGGAGCCUUCUUUAGUACGAGAGGACCGAGAAGGACAUACCUAUGGUGUACCAGUUAUCGUGCCAACGGUAAACGCUGGGUAGCUAAGUAUGGAGUGGAUAACCGCUGAAAGCAUCUAAGUGGGAAGCCCACCUCAAGAUGAGUAUUCU
rnacentral:rRNA from 1 species